rnacentral:rRNA from 1 species
UACGUAGGUGGCAAGCGUUGUUCGGAAUUACUGGGCGUAAAGGGCGCGUAGGCGGCCUUCUAAGUCGGACGUGAAAUCCCUCGGCUUAACCGAGGAACUGCGUCCGAGACUGAAAGGCUUGAAUCCGGGAGAGGGAUGUGGAAUUCCAGGUGUAGCGGUGAAAUGCGUAGAUAUCUGGAGGAACACCGGUGGCGAAGGCGGCAUCCUGGACCGGCAUUGACGCUGAGGCGCGAAAGCUAGGGGAGCAAACGGG